GCCGGGACAAAAUUCUCGAGGGACGUACGCGAACCCGGGGCAACCUCCGCCCAGCGCCGCGACCGCGUCGGUCCGUUGCCAGGGGCUCCGCGGAGUUCCGGCCUUGGCGGCAACGGGUGGCAAGUGUCCAGGGAGCGCCCCGCGGUGAGUCCAGGACGCAGAGAAGAGUCUCGCGGGAGCCUCACCCGAGACAGCACCGGCGCCCGGGCGAGCCGAGCCCUUGCGCGAUGAGUCGGCGCCCUGGGGUCGCCGCGCCAGGAGCUCAGGGGAGGCACCUCCCCUCCUCCGUGUCUCCGCAUGGCCCUAGGGCUCCCCACAGAGGGAGCCGGGGCCUCCCGCCCACGACCGCGGAGCGGCCCCUUCCCGCGUGGCGGCCCCUUCCCGCGUGGCGGGGCCAGCGAGCUCCUCUUGCGGGGCGUGGACGGGGCCGGGGUGCCCGGCAUUCAAGCUUAUGGAGCAGCCCCCUUUGAAGAUCUCCAGGUGGACUUCACAGAGAUGCCACAGUGUGGCGGUGACCCAGUGUGGAUCAAGGACUGGAACGUAGCCUCUUUGUGCCCAGGGUGGAAAGGACCCCAGAUGGUUAUCCUGAACACUCCCACCGCUGUGAAGGUAGAGGGAAUCCUAGCCCGGAUCCACCACAGCCUUGUAAAACCUGCAGCGCCUGAAACCUGGGAGGCAAGACCAAGCCCGGACAACCCUUGCGGAGUGACCCUGAAGAAGACGACAAGCCCUGCUCCAGUCACACCCAGAAGCUGACUGAUCCACGCACGGCCGAAGCAUGAGGAAUCUCAUCGUGGGAUUCAUUUUCUUAAAUUUUGGACUUAUACAGUAAGGGCUUCAACUGACCUUACUCAAACCGGUGACUGUUCCCAGUGUAUUCAUCAGGUCACUGAGGUAGGACAGCAAAUGAAAACAAUCUUUCUGUUCUAUAGUUAUUAUGAAUGUACGGGAAUGUUGAAAGAAACUUGCUUGUAUAAUGCCACUCAGAACAAGGUAUGUAGCCGGGGAAAUGACCAACCUGAUGUGUGUUAUAACCCAUCUGAGCCCCCUGCAACCACUGUUUUCAAAAUAAGAUUAAGAACUGGCCUUUUCCUAGGUGAUACAAGUAAAAUAAUAACUAGAACAGAAGGAAAAGGAAUCCCCAAACAAGUAGCCUUAAGAUUUGAUGCUUGUGCGGCCAUUAAUAGUAACAAGCUAGGAACAGGAUGUGGUUCUCUUAACUGGGAAAGGAGCUACAGAGUAGAAAAGAAAUAUGUUUGUCAUGAGUCAGGGGUUUGUGAAAAUUGUGCCUAUGGCCAAGUGUUAUUUGGGAUACUUGGAAAAAGAACAAAAAGGACCCGGUUCAUCUUCAGAAGGGGAAGCCAACCCCCCCUGUGCUGCCGGUCACUGUAACCCCCCGGAACUCAUCAUCACCCAUCCCCUAGACCCCCGCCAACCCUCCUGUGCUGCCGGUCACUGUAACCCACCGGACCUCAUAAUCACCCGUCCCCUAGACCCCCGCCAACCCUCCUGUGCUGUUGGUCACUGUAACCCACUGGAACUAAUAACCACCAAUCCCCCAGAUCCCCGUUGGGAAAAGGGAGAACCCGUAACCCUGGGGAUUGAUGGGACAGGGUUAAACCCCCAUGUUGCCAUUUUAGUCCGAGGGGAGGCCUACAGGCGCUCUCCCAAACCAGUGUUUCAAACCUUUUAUGAGGAGCUGAAUCUGUGAGCACCAGAACUUCCGAAAAAGACAAAAAAUUUGUUUCUCCAAUUAGCAGAAAAUGUAGCUCAUUCCCUUAAUGUUACUUCUUGUUACGUACGCGGGGGAACCACUAUGGGAGACCGAUGGCCUUGGGAAGCCCGAGAGUUGGUGCCCACUGAUCCAGCUCCUGAUAUAAUUCCAGUUCAGAAGGCCCAAGCUAGCAACUUCUGGGUCCUAAAAACCUCAAGUAUUGGACACUACCGUACAGCUAGGGAAGGAAAAGACUUCAUCAUCCCUGUAGGAAAGCUUAAUUGUAUAGGACGGAAGUUGUACAACAGCACAACAAAAACAAUUACUUGGUGGGGCCUAAAUCACACUGAAAAGAACCCAUUUAGUAAAUUUUCUAAAUUAAAAACUGCCUGGGCUCAUCCAGAAUCUUAUCAGGACUGGACUGCUCCCGCUGGACUAUACUGGGUAUGUGGGCACAGAGCCUACAUUCGGUGACCUAACAAAUGAACAGGUAGUUGUGUUAUUGGCACGAUUAAACCGUCCUUUUUCUUCUCACCUGUAAAAACGGGUGAGCUCCUAGGUUUCCCUGUCUAUGCCUCCCGAGAAAAGAGAGGCAUAGUUAUAGGAAACCGGAAAGAUAAUGAGUGGCCUCCUGAAAGGAUCAUACAGUAUUAUGGGCCUGCCACAUGGGCACGAGAUGGCUCAGGGGGAUACCGAACCCCCAUCUACAUGCUCAAUCGGAUCAUAGGGUUGCAGGCCGUCUUAGAAAUAAUUAUUAAUAAAACUGGCAGAGCUUUGACUGUUUUAGCUCGGCAGGAAACGCAAAUGAGAAAUGCUAUCUAUCAGAAUAGACUGGCCUUGGACUACUUGCAGCUAAAGGAGGAGUCUGUAGAAAAUCUGACUUAACCAAUAGCUGCCUACAAAUAGAUGCUGAAGGACAGGUGGUUGAAAACACAGUCAGGGACAUGACGAAGUUGGCACAUGUGCCUGUACAGGUUUGGCAUGACUUUGAUCCUAGGUCUUUAUUUGGAAAAUGGUUUCCAGCUAUAGGAAGAUUUAAAACCCUCAUUGUAGGUGUACUGCUAGCAAUAGGAACUUGCUUGCUGCUCCCCUGUGUAUUACCCUUGCUUUUUCAAAUGAUAAAAAGUUUUGUUGCUACUUUGGUUCAUCAGAAA